rnacentral:rRNA from 1 species
GUGCCAGCCGCCGCGGUAAUACGUAGGGCGCGAGCGUUGUCCGGAAUUAUUGGGCGUAAAGGGCUUGUAGGCGGCUUGUCGCGUCUGCCGUGAAAUCCUCUGGCUUAACUGGGGGCGUGCGGUGGGUACGGGCUGGCUUGAGUGCGGUAGGGGAGACUGGAAUUCCUGGUGUAGCGGUGGAAUGCGCAGAUAUCAGGAGGAACACCGGUGGCGAAGGCGGGUCUCUGGGCCGUUACUGACGCUGAGGAGCGAAAGCAUGGGGAGCGAACAGGAUUAGAUACCCUGGUAGUCCAUGCUGUAAACGUUGGGCACUAGGUGUGGGGCCGUCCUUGGUUUCUGCGCCGUAGCUAACGCUUUAAGUGCCCCGCCUGGGGAGUACGGCCGCAAGGCUAAAACUCAAAGGAAUUGACGGGGCCCGCACAAGCGGCGGAGCAUGCGGAUUAAUUCGAUGCAACGCGAAGAACCUUACCAAGGCUUGACAUGCACCGCGACACUGCAGAGAUGUGGUGGCC